GGACCAAGGCGCCCGCCGGAGGACCAACCAAAACUCUUAUUGUAUACCCCCUCGCGGGUUUUUUUAUAAUCUGAGCCUUCUCGGCGCCUCUCGUAGGCGUUUCGAAAAUGAAUCAAAACUUUCAACAACGGAUCUCUUGGUUCUGGCAUCGAUGAAGAACGCAGCGAAAUGCGAUAAGUAAUGUGAAUUGCAGAAUUCAGUGAAUCAUCGAAUCUUUGAACGCACAUUGCGCCCGCCAGUAUUCUGGCGGGCAUGCCUGUCCGAGCGUCAUUUCAACCCUCGAACCCCUCCGGGGGGUCGGCGUUGGGGAUCGGCCCUGCCUUGGCGGUGGCCGUCUCCGAAAUACAGUGGCGGUCUCGCCGCAGCCUCUCCUGCGCAGUAGUUUGCACACUCGCAUCGGGAGCGCGGCGCGUCCACAGCCGUUAAACACCCAACUUCUGAAAUGUUGACCUCGGAUCAGGUAGGAAUACCCGCUGAACUUAAGCAUAUCAAUAAGCGGAGGAAAAGAAACCAA
rnacentral:rRNA from 1 species